UACAGAGGGUGCAAGCGUUAAUCGGAUUUACUGGGCGUAAAGCGUGCGUAGGCGGUUCGCUAAGUCGGUUGUGAAAUCCCUGGGCUUAACCUGGGAACUGCAGUCGAUACUGGCGGACUAGAGUACGGUAGAGGGUGGCGGAACUCCGGGUGUAGCGGUGAAAUGCGUAGAUAUCUGGAGGAACACCGGUGGCGAAGGCGGCAUCCUGGACCGAUACUGACGCUGAGGAGCGAAAGCCAGGGGAGCAAACGGG
rnacentral:rRNA from 1 species